rnacentral:rRNA from 1 species
CCUACGGGAGGCAGCAGUGGGGAAUAUUGGACAAUGGGCGAAAGCCUGAUCCAGCCAUGCCGCGUGUGUGAAGAAGGCCUUCGGGUUGUAAAGCACUUUCAGUGUGGAAGAAAGCCUUGGGGCUAAUACCCUCGAGGAAGGACAUCACCCACAGAAGAAGCACCGGCUAACUCCGUGCCAGCAGCCGCGGUAAUACGGAGGGUGCGAGCGUUAAUCGGAAUUACUGGGCGUAAAGCGCGCGUAGGCGGUCUGAUAAGCCGGUUGUGAAAGCCCCGGGCUCAACCUGGGAACGGCAUCCGGAACUGUCAGGCUAGAGUGCAGGAGAGGAAGGUAGAAUUCCCGGUGUAGCGGUGAAAUGCGUAGAGAUCGGGAGGAAUACCAGUGGCGAAGGCGGCCUUCUGGACUGACACUGACGCUGAGGUGCGAAAGCGUGGGUAGCAAACAGGAUUAGAUACCCGUGUAGUC